CAAAAUGGAAUCUCGGAUGUUGUGA
rnacentral:piRNA from 1 species